ncrna:unclassified sequences FTHFS RNA
ACCGAUAAAAACAUAUCGAUUGUUUUUAUACGAUACCGUGAACCACUCCAACGGGCAGCGGUAUGACAAAACUCAUCCCGCCGGUGCCAUUCCGACGGCCCCGAGCAAAUUUUAUGGAAGGAG